ensembl:ncRNA lncRNA:CR44024 long non-coding RNA:CR44024
CAUUUAGUGUUUCGCUUCGUACCGCCGCAGUUGAGUUUCAAGGAAGCUAUCGCAAACAUGUGUGAACGAGGAUGAAUGACGUGCCUUACGCUUGUGUUGUAGAAUAUUGAUAUCUAUUGAUAGCUGGAAUGCUCGUAGUGAAUUCUAAUUCGUGUAAAACUGACCUGAGUCCCCGGUUAUUAUACUCAUAAAAAAUGGGAAUAACCGUGACUUCCGGUUGCUAUACUAAACAUUCAGCUUAAGGAAGUGGAAUAUAUCUGGAGAUAUGCAUAUGCAAGCAGUGCUGCAAAUAUUUUUAAAUGAACUUGAAGUUAAUUUUUUUUUAACUUUUAACAGAUUCCGAAAGAUCAGAUUUCAAUAUUUUUGGACGUGGGUAUAUUGUGUCGAAAGCCUUCCUUUCUGCCUGUUACAUACUUUUCAACGAAACUAGUACUACCCCCUUGUUCUACAAGUAACCGCAAUAGUGUCGUGUCGGGUAAGUGUCAUACUACAAUCCAGCUAUAAAGACUUCUCCCGUUUCUUUCUAGAACAUGUACUGCAUAUGGAUACAAUAGAAGCUGUCCUUAUUAUUUUUUAAGAAGCAAUUACGGUAUUGGAAAUUUCAAAAACAUGUUUAACACACAAAUAAUAAAUAAUGCUAAGAAAAAGAAGGGAAAUGAAAAUGCAUAUGUUUUUUUUAUUCCCAUCCAACCAGUUAGGGGCUUCAUUAAGCAUUGCUCACAUCCAUGAGGGCACCGCAGAAGUCCGUACACAUAUGGCAAAACAGUGAAAUUGGUCAAUAAAGAAAAGCAAUAGAAAUAAUUCUCCGAGAGAAGUACAAUUCUUCACGGGAAGUACAUAUGUAUAUAAAUUAAAAAUUAUCAAUAAAAUAAGGACCGUCGAAGAGGGAACGAUAGAGAAAUGUAAAGCAAAACUUAGUCAGUUGAUUCACAGGGAUUAAAACAUUUGCAUGGAAGGCAAAGGUGGGCGAUUAGGAUAAGUGCUUCUUUAUAUUGUUUGGAACUACAGAAAACCCUGGAUGACCGCGAGACAAAGGAUCAAGGAAGCACCUAAUGCCGCCAAAACAGUCAAGGAACUUUACACACUUCGUCUAGGGAAAAACUUUUACACACUCUGUAACAGGGAAAAGAGCUAAGAAUUCCAAGUGAUGCUCACCUGAAUAAGCUGAAGAUUACCUUGCCUCUAAAGUGGAGAGGCCGGGAAAAUAUGACACAUUUAACAUAGACGCCAAAAUUAAUAACAAUUUGCGUGUACAUGAAGGUCAAUCAUUUGGCUGUGUAGUAGUAGUAGUAAGUAGUAUGCAUUAAUGUACGUUAAGAAACGGUCAUGAAAAUUCAUCAAUCAUUGUCCCAAUAAUUUUUAAUAAUCACCGAACAGUUCAGAAGGAAAUAAACUGGUAUCGGCUAUGUACAUUAUGUAUAUUUGUAUCUAUGUAUAUGCUAUGUAUACUUGUACCUUAAAAUACAAUAUUAAUAGCUGCUAUCUUACUUCCAAUGAUAAUAUAAAAGCAUUUAUAGCCGAUAUUUACGCAAAUUUAUAGAAGAUGGAGAGGUCACAUCUGAGAGCCAUGGUCACAUCUGAUAAAGCAUGAAGAGCGUGGCCAAUAACACCGUGUCCGUCAUAAUAAGAGGGCGUAAAUCUUUUAUGCCACAGGAUCGAGCUCGAGAUCUCCGAACCCAAGAUGCAAAAGUGUACUGGUGGACGAAUUAAACGUUCUGAGACAGGCCACUUCGCCAUUGACUAACCAGUCAUUGACUAACCGGUCGAGAAGGUUGCUGGUUGGUUUUGAUAAGCUAAGGACCGUGAAACCCUACAACUCCAUUCGUUAUCAUCCACUCUGCGUAUUAAAUAUCUGGCAAAGCUGAUUACAUGCGACCUCUGUCAAAAGGUCGAAUGUUUUUGCUGUUGUGAUUUUGUCUAUAUUUAAAAUUGUUCAAAACCAGCGUUACCAUCCUUACAGAAUAACGGAAUUACAGCACACAUGCAAGCGACAAAUACAUUAACAUUACUUCCGGAUCAGUUCAAAGAUCCUAUUGUAACCGAAAUUGUGGCACAUUAGCUUCGACGAUAUAAUUAGCACGGAAGUACCUUUUUUUGUAUAACAGGGAUAGUUAUACCCGUUUCUCGUAGAGUAAAAGCAAAGACAUUAGAAAUAUUUGGUGACGGCUAAAUUGACCUCUCCCCGCUCGUGUGAAAUUGAGAAAAAUCUAAAAAUUGAAUUUGCGUGCUAGAAGACAAUUUUCGGGCCGAAAUCAAUUUACAUAUUUGGAUUUUUGGCCAAUUUCGUUGCAAAACUUAACAGGGUACUGUGAGCAGAACUUUUAACAGCAUUAAUAUUAAGUUCAUCAAUAUUUUAACGAUUUGGAAUUGUUAGUAUAGCUUUUGUAAUUUAUAACAUACAUUUUACAAAAAAAGGAAAUACAAAUUAAAAAAUAUAUUUCAUAAGAAUAAUACAAACAUACAUAGUUAAAAGUAAAUAUUUAUAAAGUAAAUACAAGUUUGCGAACUACUUAAUGCAAAUUUGAUUUCUUGAGGGACGACGUGCGGUCAAAAGCACAUAUAAUAAUAACGUUAGGCAAUGCAAAACAAUUGAUUGAAAAACAAUUUUAAUUGAUCACAAAUAAAAUAGAUUGAAAACAGGCAGAAUGUCGUAU